GUUCAAGGAUGAAAGACGGUUUCGGCUGUCACUUACAGAUGGACCCGCGGCGCAUUAGCUAGUUGGUGGGGUAAUGGCUCACCAAGGCGACGAUGCGUAGCCGACCUGAGAGGGUGAUCGGCCACACUGGGACUGAGACACGGCCCAGACUCCUACGGGAGGCAGCAGUAGGGAAUCUUCCGCAAUGGACGAAAGUCUGACGGAGCAACGCCGCGUGAGUGAUGAAGGUUUUCGGAUCGUAAAGCUCUGUUGUUAGGGAAGAACAAGUGCGAGAGUAACUGCUCGCACCUUGACGGUACCUAACCAGAAAGCCACGGCUAACUACGUGCCAGCAGCCGCGGUAAUACGUAGGUGGCAAGCGUUGUCCGGAAUUAUUGGGCGUAAAGGGCUCGCAGGCGGUUUCUUAAGUCUGAUGUGAAAGCCCCCGGCUCAACCGGGGAGGGUCAUUGGAAACUGGGAAACUUGAGUGCAGAAGAGGAGAGUGGAAUUCCACGU
rnacentral:rRNA from 1 species